UACACUCCUGCGGGAGGCAGCAGUGAGGAAUAUUGGCCAAUGGGUGGAAGCCUGAUCCAGCCAUCCCGCGUGCAGGAAGACGGCCCUAUGGGUUGUAAACUGCUUUUAUCUGGGGAUAAACCUACUUACGUGUAAGUAGCUGAAGGUACCAGAAGAAUAAGCACCGGCUAACUCCGUGCCAGCAGCCGCGGUAAUACGGAGGGUGCAAGCGUUAUCCGGAUUUAUUGGGUUUAAAGGGUCCGUAGGCGGACUGAUAAGUCAGUGGUGAAAUCCGACAGCUUAACUGUCGAACUGCCAUUGAUACUGUUAGUCUUGAGUAAGGUUGAAGUGGCUGGAAUAAGUAGUGUAGCGGUGAAAUGCAUAGAUAUUACUUAGAACACCAAUUGCGAAGGCAGGUCACUAAGUCUUAACUGACGCUGAUGGACGAAAGCGUGGGGAGCGAACAGGAUUAGAAACCCCGGUAGUCCCAUGA
rnacentral:rRNA from 1 species